GACGAACGCUGGCGGCGUGCCUAAUACAUGCAAGUCGAACGGUUUAGUUCCAUGAGGCUUGCCUUUUGGAACUAGACAGUGGCGGACGGGUGGGUAACCCGUAGACACCCCACCUGUCAAACCGGGAUAACCUCUGGAAACCUAAGCUAAACCCCGAUAAGCUCCUUUUUCGCAUGCAGGGGGUGUGAAAAGGUGCGACCGUAUGUGAGAUGGGCCUGCGGCGCAUUCGCUAUUAGGUCGGGUAACGGCCUAACUAAGGGAGGCUGCGGACACGAGCUUAGAGGGCGGACGGCCAACAUUGGAAUUGGAUACCGCCCAGAACUCCAAGGGAGGCAGCAGGAGGGAAUCUUCGGCAAUGGGCGGAAGGCUUACCGAGCCACGCCGGGGGAGUGAAGAAGGGCUUUCGGGUGUAAAACUCUGUUGGUCGGGAAGAAGGGCAAGUGUAGGAACCGUUGGUGACGGUAGCAAACGAAGAAGCCCCGGCUAACUACGUG
rnacentral:rRNA from 1 species